GGCCUUGCUUGGCAAACAUACUUAAAGGUAUGGGCGCAAAGUCUCCGGCCUAAGGGAAACUAUGGUAGCGGGAUUGCGACA
rnacentral:ncRNA from 1 species